GAUGAACGCUGGCGGCGUGCCUAAUACAUGCAAGUCGAACGCUGGAGAUCUAUCUUGCUAGAUCGAAGGAGUGGCGAACGGGUGAGUAAUACAUAAGCAACCUACCCACGAAGACUGGGAUAAUCUCUGGAAACGGGUACUAAUACCGGAUAGGUAAUCGGAAGGCAUCUUCUGGUUAUUAAAGGUUAAAAACACUGGUGGAUGGGCUUAUGGCGCAUUAGUUAGUUGGUGAGGUAACGGCCCACCAAGACGCUGAUGCGUAGCCGGCCUGAGAGGGUGAACGGCCACAUUGGGACUGAGACACGGCCCAGACGCCUACGGGAGGAAGCAGUAGGGAAUUGUCGGCAAUGGGGGCAACCCUGACCGAGCAACGCCGCGUGAGUGAAGACGGCCUUCGGGUUGUAAAGCUCUGUUGUAAGGGAAGAACGGUAGAUAGAGAAUAUCUAAGUGACGGUACCUGACCAGAAAGCCACGGCUAACUACGUG
rnacentral:rRNA from 1 species